rnacentral:rRNA from 1 species
CCUACGGGUGGCAGCAGUGAGGAAUAUUGGUCAAUGGACGAGAGUCUGAACCAGCCAAGUAGCGUGAAGGAUGACUGCCCUAUGGGUUGUAAACUUCUUUUAUAAGGGAAUAAAAUGAGGCACGUGUGCCUUUUUGUAUGUACUUUAUGAAUAAGGAUCGGCUAACUCCGUGCCAGCAGCCGCGGUAAUACGGAGGAUCCGAGCGUUAUCCGGAUUUAUUGGGUUUAAAGGGAGCGUAGGUGGGUUGUUAAGUCAGUUGUGAAAGUUUGCGGCUCAACCGUAAAAUUGCAGUUGAUACUGGCAGUCUUGAGUACAGUAGAGGUAGGCGGAAUUCGUGGUGUAGCGGUGAAAUGCUUAGAUAUCACGAAGAACCCCGAUUGCGAAGGCAGCUUACUGGACUGUAACUGACACUGAGGCUCGAAAGUGUGGGUAUCAAACAGGAUUAGAUACCCGAGUAGUC